rnacentral:rRNA from 1 species
UAGAGGAAGUAAAAGUCGUAACAAGGUCUCCGUUGGUGAACCAGCGGAGGGAUCAUUACAGAGUUGCAAAACUCCAACAAACCAUCGCGAAUCUUACCCGUACGGUUGCCUCGGCGCUGGCGGUCCGGAAGGCCCUCGGGCCCCCCGGAUCCUCGGGUCUCCCGCUCGCGGGAGGCUGCCCGCCGGAGUGCCGAAACCAAACUCUUGAUAUUUUAUGUCUCUCUGAGUAAACUUUUAAAUAAGUCAAAACUUUCAACAACGGAUCUCUUGGUUCUGGCAUCGAUGAAGAACGCAGCGAAAUGCGAUAAGUAAUGUGAAUUGCAGAAUUCAGUGAAUCAUCGAAUCUUUGAACGCACAUUGCGCUCGCCAGUAUUCUGGCGAGCAUGCCUGUUCGAGCGUCAUUUCAACCAUCAAGCUCUGCUUGCGUUGGGGAUCCGCGUCUGACGCGGUCCCUCAAAAACAGUGGCGGGCUCGCUAGUCACACCGAGCGUAGUAACUCUACAUCGCUAUGGUCGUGCGGCGGGUUCUUGCCGUAAAACCCCCAAUUUCUAAGGUUGACCUCGGAUCAGGUAGGAAUACCCGCUGAACUUAAGCAUAUCAAA